rnacentral:rRNA from 1 species
GACGAACGCUGGCGGCGUGCUUAACACAUGCAAGUCGAACGGAAAGGCCCUGCUUUUGUGGGGUGCUCGAGUGGCGAACGGGUGAGUAACACGUGAGUAACCUGCCCUUGACUUUGGGAUAACUUCAGGAAACUGGGGCUAAUACCGGAUAGGAGCUCCUGCUGCAUGGUGGGGGUUGGAAAGUUUCGGCGGUUGGGGAUGGACUCGCGGCUUAUCAGCUUGUUGGUGGGGUAGUGGCUUACCAAGGCUUGGACGGGUAGCCGGCCUGAGAGGGUGACCGGCCACAUUGGGACUGAGGUACGGCGCAGACGCCUACGGGAGGCAGCAGGGGGGAAUAUUGCACAAUGGGCGGAAGCCUGAUGCAGCAACGCCGCGUGCGGGAUGACGGCCUUCGGGUUGUAAACCGCUUUCGCCUGUGACGAAGCGUGAGUGACGGUAAUUGGUAAAGAAGCACCGGCUAACUACGUG